AUUGAACGCUGGCGGCAUGCCUUACACAUGCAAGUCGAACGGUAACGGGCCUUCGGGUGCCGACGAGUGGCGAACGGGUGAGUAAUACAUCGGAACGUGCCCGAUCGUGGGGGAUAACGAGGCGAAAGCUUUGCUAAUACCGCAUACGAUCUACGGAUGAAAGCAGGGGACCGCAAGGCCUUGCGCGGACGGAGCGGCCGAUGGCAGAUUAGGUAGUUGGUGGGAUAAAAGCUUACCAAGCCGACGAUCUGUAGCUGGUCUGAGGGGAUGACCAGCCACACGGGGGCGAGGACACGGCCCAAACCCCGAGGGGAGGCAGGGGGGGGAAAUUUGGGAAAAGGGGCGAAAGCCGAUUCCGGCCACGCGGGGGGAGGGAUGAAGGCCUUGGGGUUGUAAACGGUUUUUGUAGGGAAGAAAAAGCCUUCUUUUAAAACGGGGGGGUAAGGACGGACCCGAAAAAAAAACCACCGCCAAACCCCGG
rnacentral:rRNA from 1 species